rnacentral:rRNA from 1 species
AACGAACGCUGGCGGCAUGCCUAACACAUGCAAGUCGAACGGUAACUUCGGGCCUCUUGGCGCUCCGCUGCGGAACGCCGGGGGACUUACCCUUAGGUUCGGAACAACUCGCUGAAAGGGGAGCUCAUAUCGGAUAGGGUCUUCGUACCAAAGAUCUAUCGCCUUUGGAUGGGGGCGCGUUGGAUUAGCUAGUUGGUAGGGUAAAAGCCUAGCAAGGCGACGAUCCGUAGCUGGUCUGAGAGCAUGAUCAGCCACACUGGGACUGCGACACGGCCCAGACUCCUACGGGAGGGAGCAGUGGGGAAUACUGGACAAUGGGCGAAAGCCUGAUCCAGCAAUGCCGGGUGAGUGAUGAAGGCGUUAGGGUUGUAAAUCUCUUUUACACGGGAUGAUAAUGACGGUACCGGGAGAAGAAGCACCGGCUAACUCCGUG